rnacentral:rRNA from 1 species
UCCCAUAAACCGUGGCUCAGUUCAGAUCGUAGGCUGCAACUCGCCUACGUGAAGUAGGAAUCGCUAGUAAUCGCAGGUCAGCAUACUGCGGUGAAUACGUUCCCGGGCCUUGUACACACCGCCCGUCACACCAUGGAAGUUGGCCAUGCCCGAAGUCGUUACUCCAACCCUUGUGGAGGAGGACGCCGAAGGUGGGGCUAAUGACUGGGGUGAAGUCGUAACAAGGUAGCCGUACCGGAAGGUGCGGCUGGAUCACCUCCUAA